rnacentral:rRNA from 1 species
AGUGAACGCUGGCGGCGUGCUUAACACAUGCAAGUCGAACGAGAACGGGCUAUAGCUUGCUAUAGUUGUCAGCUAAGUGGCGCACGGGUGAGUAAUGUAUAGGUAAUAUGCCUCUUACUAAGGGAUAACAAAUGGAAACGUUUGCUAAUACCUUAUACUCCUUAUUAACAUAAGUUAAUAAGGGAAAGAUUUAUUGGUAAGAGAUUAGCCUGUAUUGUAUCAGUUAGUUGGUGGGGUAAUGGCUUACCAAGACUAUGACACAUAACUGGUUUGAGAGGAUGAUCAGUCACACUGGAACUGAGACACGGUCCAGACUCCUACGGGAGGCAGCAGUGGGGAAUAUUGCACAAUGGACGAAAGUCUGAUACAGCAACGCCGCGUGGAGGAUGACACAUUUCGGUGCGUAAACUCCUUUUAUAUGAGAAGAUAAUGACGGUAUUAUAUGAAUAAGCACCGGCUAACUCCGUGCCAGCCGCCGCGGUAA